rnacentral:rRNA from 1 species
UUGUUUUUUAAUUGAAAACUGGCAUGAAUGGUUGAACGGUGUAGAGCUGUUUCUUUGAGGUUGGUAAAACUUAGAGUUUAUGUAAAAAUACGUAAAUGGCCCGACGGGACGACAAGACCCUAAAAGCUUUAUACCUAAAAGUUUGUGUCUAAGCCUAAAACUCAAGGUAAUUAGCUGGGGCAGCUGACUUAAUAAAAUUAAGUUUCGAAAAAAUCAGGAUAAGGAGCAAAUAGAUCUUUUUUAUAAGAAGGGAUAGAGUUAGUUACUUUAGGGAUAACAGCGUAAUAACUUUGGAGAGACCUAAUCGAUAUAGUUGAUUGCGACCUCGAUGUUGAAUUAAGAGGCCCCCGCGAGGUAGAAUGUGCGGGAGGAAGUUUGUUCAACUUUUUAUUUCUU